rnacentral:SRP_RNA from 1 species
GCCGGGCGUGGUGGCGCAUGCCUGUAAUCCCAGCUACUCGGGAGGCUGAGGCAGAAGAAUCGCUUGAACCCAGGAGGCAGAGGUUGCAGUGAGCCGAGAUCACGCCACUGCACUCUAGCCUGGGCAACAAGAGUGAAACUCUGUCUCAA